AGGCCCGUAGCUCAGUUGGUUAGAGCGCUUCCCUGACACGGAAGAGGUCUGCGGUUCAAGUCCGCACGGGCCUACCA
rnacentral:tRNA from 2 species